rnacentral:lncRNA from 1 species
CAUCACGUGUCUGAACCAUCUCAAUCGGACUUCCCACAUCUUAAUCUCCACUGGAGUCACACCAACCUUCUCCCUAAUAGUCUUAUUCCGAACUCUAUCCCCCCUAGUCAGCCCACACAUCCAACGCAACAUCCGCAUUUCUGCCACCUUCAUUUUUUGAAUGUGGGAGUUCUUAACUGGCCAACACUCCGCUCCAUACAAC